UAGGGAAUCUUCCGCAAUGGGCGAAAGCCUGACGGAGCAACGCCGCGUGAGUGAUGAAGGUCUUCGGAUCGUAAAACUCUGUUAUUAGGGAAGAACAAAUGUGUAAGUAACUAUGCACAUCUUGACGGUACCUAAUCAGAAAGCCACGGCUAACUACGUGCCAGCAGCCGCGGUAAUACGUAGGUGGCAAGCGUUAUCCGGAAUUAUUGGGCGUAAAGCGCGCGUAGGCGGUUUUUUAAGUCUGAUGUGAAAGCCCACGGCUCAACCGUGGAGGGUCAUUGGAAACUGGAAAACUUGAGUGCAGAAGAGGAAAGUGGAAUUCCAUGUGUAGCGGUGAAAUGCGCAGAGAUAUGGAGGAACACCAGUGGCGAAGGCGACUUUCUGGUCUGUAACUGACGCUGAUGUGCGAAAGCGUGGGGAUCAAACAGG
rnacentral:rRNA from 3 species